GACGAACGCUGGCGGCGUGCUUAACACAUGCAAGUCGAGCGGUAAGGCCCUUUCGGGGGUACACGAGCGGCGAACGGGUGAGUAACACGUGGGUGACCUGCCCUCAGCUCUGGGAUAAGCCUGGGAAACCGGGUCUAAUACUGGAUAUGACUCCAUGACGCAUGUUGUGGGGUGGAAAGCCUUGUGCGGCUGAGGAUGGGCCCGCGGCCUAUCAGCUUGUUGGUGGGGUGANGGCCUACCAAGGCGACGACGGGUAGCCGGCCUGAGAGGGCGACCGGCCACACUGGGACUGAGACACGGCCCAGACUCCUACGGGAGGCAGCAGUGGGGAAUCUUGCGCAAUGGGCGAAAGCCUGACGCAGCGACGCCGCGUGGGUGAUGAAGGCCUU
rnacentral:rRNA from 1 species